rnacentral:lncRNA from 1 species
CUUGACAAAAAUUUAACCUUCUGUUCCGAGGAUGAAAGGACGACGGCCCAUACGUUAAAAAGGACUAACAUGUCAACUACAGAACUAAGCCAACCUCAGCGUGAGCUUUGGUUGUGAAUGGUAUGAACUUUGAACUGUUAUUCACUACAGAAGUGAUACCUCCUAGCCGUUGAGUUAGCAGCGGCCACUCUAAACGUGGGCUAGGAAAGGACGGACGACGUGUCCAGUCUAUCACACAACGACGAUACUACAACGUAUACCAUUUACCACCAGAGACAUUCUUCCGAGGACAGCAAGAUCUCUGCUGGGCAACACGGCCAGCAUCUACGACCAACCUACCGAAGCGCAGCUCAGAGCCGGUGGUAGCUGGUCCACUGCAGGACGCUGAGGUGCGGGGGCCAAGGCGUACACAGUCCGGGCCAUCCUGGACUCCUGACGUCGGGAUCCGUGACACAUAGACUGUUCUCUCUACUACCGCAAGGCAUGUGGUGCCGGAGUGCCAAGUCUAGGAAAAAAAGGCUUCUCAACAGUUUUUACCCCCAAACCAUAAGACUCCUGAACAGGACUACCUGGCUUGAUGACUCCUUGCUGUCCCCAGUUCACCUGGCCGUGCUGCUGCUCCAGUUCCAACUGUUCUGCCUGCAGCUAUGGAACCCUGACCUGUUCACCGGACGUGCUACCUGUCCCAGACCUGUUGUCCCAGACCUGCUGGAACCCUGACCUAUUCACCGGACGUGCUACCUGUCCCAGACCUGCUGUUUUCAACUCUCUAGAGACAGCAGGAGCGGUAGAGAUACUCUCAAAGAUAGGCUAUGAAAAAGCCAACUGACACUUACUCUUGUGUUACUGACUUGUUGCACCCUCGACAACUACUAUGAUUAUUAUUAUUUGACAAUGCUGGUCAUUUAUGAACA